GACGAACGCUGGCGGCGUGCUUAACACAUGCAAGUCGAACGGAGAUUCAGCAAUGGAUCUUAGUGGCGAACGGGUGAGUAACGCGUAGGCAAUCUGCCUUCUAGAUGGGGACAACAUCCCGAAAGGGGUGCUAAUACCGAAUGUUGUAUGAUCUUCGCAUGGAGAUGAUACUAAAGGUGGCCUCUGAAUAUGCUACCGCUAGAAGAUGAGCCUGCGUCUGAUUAGCUAGUUGGAGGGGUAACGGCCCACCAAGGCUUCGAUCAGUAGCCGGUCUGAGAGGAUGAGCGGCCACACUGGGACUGAGACACGGCCCAGACUCCUAGGGGAGGCAGCAGUGGGGAAUCUUCCGCAAUGGACGAAAGUCUGACGGAGCAACGCCGCGUGAGUGAAGAAGGUUUUCGGAUCGUAAAGCUCUUUCGUUAGGGACGAACGUGCUCUUUGUGAAUAAUGAGGAGUAAUGACGGUACCUAAAUAAGAAGCCACGGCUAACUACGUGCCAGCAGCCGCCGUAA
rnacentral:rRNA from 1 species